rnacentral:rRNA from 1 species
UACGUAGGGUGCAAGCGUUAAUCGGAAUUACUGGGCGUAAAGCGUGCGCAGGCGGUUAUGUAAGACAGGUGUGAAAUCCCCGGGCUUAACCUGGGAACUGCAUUUGUGACUGCAUAGCUAGAGUACGGCAGAGGGGGAUGGAAUUCCGCGUGUAGCAGUGAAAUGCGUAGAUAUGCGGAGGAACACCGAUGGCGAAGGCAAUCCCCUGGGCCUGUACUGACGCCCAUGCACGAAAGCGUGGGGAGCAAACAGG